rnacentral:rRNA from 1 species
GACAGAGGCCCCAAGCGUUAGGCGGAAUCACUGGGCUUAAAGCGUGUGUAGGCGGAUCGUUAAGUGUCUUGUGAAAUCCCACGGCUCACCCGUGGAACUGCUGGGCAUACUGGCGAUCUUGGGCCAACUAGGGGCAGCCGGAACAAGCGGUGGAGCGGUGAAAUGCGUAGAUAUCGCUUGGAACGCCGAAGGUGAAAACAGGCUGCUGGGGUUGCGCCGACGCUGAGAUACGAAAGCCAGGGGAGCAAACGGG